rnacentral:rRNA from 1 species
GGGGGGGGCAGCAGUAGGGAAUCUUCGGCAAUGGACGAAAGUCUGACCGAGCAACGCCGCGUGAGUGAAGAAGGUUUUCGGAUCGUAAAACUCUGUUGUUAGAGAAGAACAAGGACGUUAGUAACUGAACGUCCCCUGACGGUAUCUAACCAGAAAGCCACGGCUAACUACGUGCCAGCAGCCGCGGUAAUACGUAGGUGGCAAGCGUUGUCCGGAUUUAUUGGGCGUAAAGCGAGCGCAGGCGGUUUCUUAAGUCUGAUGUGAAAGCCCCCGGCUCAACCGGGGAGGGUCAUUGGAAACUGGGAGACUUGAGUGCAGAAGAGGAGAGUGGAAUUCCAUGUGUAGCGGUGAAAUGCGUAGAUAUAUGGAGGAACACCAGUGGCGAAGGCGGCUCUCUGGUCUGUAACUGACGCUGAGGCUCGAAAGCGUGGGGAGCAAACAGGAUUAGAUACCCUGGUAGUCCACGCCGUAAACGAUGAGUGCUAAGUGUUGGAGGGUUUCCGCCCUUCAGUGCUGCAGCAAACGCAUAAGCACUCCGCCUGGGAGU